UACGUAGGGUGCAAGCGUUUGUCCGGAAUUAUUGGGCGUAAAGAGCUCGUAGGCGGUUUGUCGCGUCUGCUGUGAAAACCCGAGGCUCAACCUCGGGCCUGCAGUGGGUACGGGCAGACUAGAGUGCGGUAGGGGGAGAUUGGAAUUCCUGGUGUAGCGGUGGAAUGCGCAGAUAUCAGGAGGAACACCGAUGGCGAAGGCAGGUCUCUGGGCUGUAACUGACGCUGAGGAGCGAAAGCAUGGGGAGCGAACAGG
rnacentral:rRNA from 1 species